UUGCUAUUUCCUUCUACAGUUCAUUUUAUAGCUGAGGAAUGGAGGUAAACAGGGUUCAGUGACUUGCUCAGGGUCCCACAGUGUUUAAGACCAGAUCUAAGUUCAAGAAGACUUAGACUCCAGGGCUCGUACUCUAUCCACUUCGCCAUAUAAUACAGAAUGGUGGGAUAAUUUGAAGAGGAUGGAAAGAAGGGAAUGAACAUUGAAGGAUGGGAUUUGAACAAUGACAGCCAGGAGUUCAGAAACACUGAGGGAAAGAGAAUAUAAAGGGAUGAGAAAACUGAAGGACCCCAGACUGUCUGAAGCCUGGAAUGUUCUAGAAUUCUGGUUGGGAAUGAGGACUGGAAUUGUUAUUUCAUUGAUCUAGGGAACUCUCGGGAAUUGGACCAGAUAAUCUCUCAAGUUUAUUACAUGUCUAAAAUAUGGUAAUUUAAAAAGAAGAAAUGAAUAUCAAAAGAUCAUUUGCCAUUCUACUUGGACCUGAAAAGAGAUUUUCCUUUGACCAGUAGAUGUCACUACAGCCAUACAAAGUCAAGUUUAUUCCAGUUUACUCUUAAGUGGAACAUCUUUAAAUGCUUACACUCAUCCAUUGUGGAAAAGAUCUGUCUCUGUUGCUAGAGAAGCCCUUGAAGACAGGUGCAUUCAGAGGUCAGACCACACCAUUCAUGCUAUCCCUGAAGUGAAAGACCUGAAUACCUACUAUAUGUUCCAGACAUCUAUGGAUUCAUUGAUGUAGAUCUACCCUCCACUGAUUCAGUUUGUGAUGUCUCCCUCUUAGAGAGUGUUUUCCUGAGUUGUUAUGGAUGAAUAAUUUUGCCUUGUUCUGAAGCUUUCUGGUGCUGAGCUCUUCACAUUUAGCUUGGCUGGUUUCCAGAUCCCAGACACAUAUGCUCCAUUGCAAGACCUAUUCUUAAAGCCCUUCCCACUUGGUAGGACCUGCCAACCCCUGUGUUUUGCCCUUAUAACUUUCAAAAAUUCAGGGUCACCCUGAUGUGAUGGUAAGACAUCGGAGAAGGACUUUUGUGGAAAUUCAGAUAAAUAAUUCAGAUUCAGAUAAAUAAAAUAGAAGGUACAUUUCA
rnacentral:lncRNA from 1 species